UUAACUCAUAAUUGUAAGAAGUUGAAAGGUUUACCUACGUUGGCCACUAGGGGCGCUGUUCCAACUGCAUACAAAUUUAAGUUA
rnacentral:pre_miRNA from 1 species